ACUCGUAGACUCCUACGGGAGGCAGCAGUGGGGAAUAUUGCACAAUGGGGGAAACCCUGAUGCAGCCAUGCCGCGUGUGUGAAGAAGGCCUUCGGGUUGUAAAGCACUUUCAGCGAGGAGGAAAGGGUGUGUGCUAAUACCAUACAUCUGUGACUAUGCGAGAAGACACCGGCUAACUCCGUGCCAGCAGCCGCGGUAAUACGGAGGGUGCGAGCGUUAAUCGGAAUUACUGGGCGUAAAGCGUGCGCAGGCGGUUUGUUAAGCGAGAUGUGAAAGCCCCGGGCUCAACCUGGGAAUUGCAUUUCGAACUGGCAAGCUAGAGUCUUGUAGAGGGGGGUAGAAUUUCAGGUGUAGCGGUGAAAUGCGUAGAGAUCUGAAGGAAUACCGGUGGCGAAGGCGGCCCCCUGGACAAAGACUGACGCUCAUGCACGAAAGCGUGGGGAGCAAACAGGAUUAGAUACCCUGGUAG
rnacentral:rRNA from 1 species